rnacentral:rRNA from 1 species
GGAUGCGAUCAUACCAGCACUAAAGCAUCGGAUCCCAUCAGAACUUCGAAGUUAAGCGUGCUUGGGCGAGAGUAGUACUAGGAUGGGUGACCUCCCGGGAAGUCCUCGUGUUGCAUUCC